rnacentral:rRNA from 1 species
UGGGGAAUCUUGCACAAUGGGGGAAACCCUGAUGCAGCGACGCCGCGUGAGCGAUGAAGGUUUUCGAAUCGUAAAGCUCUGUCCUAUGGGAAGAUAAUGACGGUACCAUGGGAGGAAGCCCCUGCUAACUACGUGCCAGCAGCCGCGGUAAUACGUAGGGGGCGAGCGUUGUCCGGAAUUACUGGGCGUAAAGGGUUCGCAGGCGGCAUGGCAAGUCCGAUGUAAAAGGCGAAGGCUCAACCUUCGUAAGCAUCGGAAACUGUCAAGCUUGAGUGAAGGAGAGGCAAGUGGAAUUCCUAGUGUAGCGGUGGAAUGCGUAGAUAUUAGGAGGAAUACCGGUGGCGAAGGCGACUUGCUGGACUUCAACUGACGCUGAGGAACGAAAGCGUGGGUAGCAAACAGG